rnacentral:rRNA from 1 species
GGGUGAGUAACGCGUAGGUAACCUACCUCAUAGCGGGGGAUAACUAUUGGAAACGAUAGCUAAUACCGCAUAAGAGAGACUAACGCAUGUUAGUAAUUUAAAAGGGGUAAUUGCUCCACCAUGAGAUGGACCUGCGUUGUAUUAGCUAGUUGGUGAGGUAAAGGCUCACCAAGGCGACGAUACAUAGCCGACCUGAGAGGGUGAUCGGCCACACUGGGACUGAGACACGGCCCAGACUCCUACGGGAGGCAGCAGUAGGGAAUCUUCGGCAAUGGGGGCAACCCUGACCGAGCAACGCCGCGUGAGUGAAGAAGGUUUUCGGAUCGUAAAGCUCUGUUGUUAGAGAAGAAUGAUGGUGGGAGUGGAAAAUCCACCAAGUGACGGUAACUAACCAGAAAGGGACGGCUAACUACGUGCCAGCAGCCGCGGUAAUACGUAGGUCCCGAGCGUUGUCCGGAUUUAUUGGGCGUAAAGCGAGCGCAGGCGGUUUUUUAAGUCUGAAGUUAAAGGCAUUGGCUCAACCAAUGUACGCUUUGGAAACUGGAGAACUUGAGUGCAGAAGGGGAGAGUGGAAUUCCAUGUGUAGCGGUGAAAUGCGUAGAUAUAUGGAGGAACACCGGUGGCGAAAGCGGCUCUCUGGUCUGUAGCUGACGCUGAGGCUCGAAAGCGUGGGGAGCAAACAGGAUUAGAU